rfam:Ictidomys tridecemlineatus contig016717, whole genome shotgun sequence.
UGGGUUGGGGCUCAGUGGUAAAGUGCUUGCCUCACAGGCGUGAGGCCCUGGGUUCAAUCCUCAGCACCACAU